rnacentral:rRNA from 1 species
AUGUUACAAACUAUUGAAUUGAAUCAUACCAUCAGCAGAUCCAUCUCCAGCUUCUGCAUCGUCGUCGUCACCUUUAUCUCCACCCUCCACAUUCUCCUCUUCACCAUCAUCAUCAUCAUCAUCAUCAUCAUCAUCAUCAUCAUCAUCAUCAUCAUCGCUGUCACUAUCAGCUUCAAUUUUAGGCACUGGCAGGGGUAUAAAACUAGAUGCAUUUCUCCUACGAGAACUCGUAAUAAUAUUGCUCAUGUCUAUGCCCUCAAGAUCCUUUGCUCUUUCCUUUCUUUUUCUCACUGCUUUAAUUUCUGUUUAAAAAAUGCAUAA